GACAGAGGGUGCAAACGUUGUUCGGAAUUACUGGGCGUAAAGGGCGCGUAGGCGGCCUUCUAAGUCAGACGUGAAAUCCCCCGGCUUAACCUGGGAACUGCGUCUGAUACUGGAGGGCUUGAGUGCGGGAGAGGGAUGUGGAAUUCCAGGUGUAGCGGUGAAAUGCGUAGAUAUCUGGAGGAACACCGGUGGCGAAGGCGGCAUCCUGGACCGACACUGACGCUGAGACACGAAAGCGUGGGUAGCAAACAGG
rnacentral:rRNA from 1 species